CAGAGGUCAGAGGGGAAGUGGUGACCUUUUCUCCGCGCUUGCAGGAGGAUGGGGAAAGCAGCACCUCUCUCCUCGCCUUUGGGCUUCGAGCCUUGAGUGUGGAAGCGUGGAGCCUCGCCUCGCCUUGUUUAUGCGUUUAUUUCUAGAAAUGGAAUGAAAGCCUAAGCUGCAUCCCAGGCCCUUUUUGUGAGCCAGGAAUCGUCACAGAAAGGCACAGGGUGAAUGACUGCACGCUGUCUCCAUUAGCAUCUCGUGUGCUCCACAGCAAUACACCUGCUGAUUCCCCUGAAUAAUAUGGCUUAAAUGAGGUACAUUAAACAUGCAUUUCCUUGUCGUGAAUUUCUAGGAGCUCAAUAAUGCUGUUUUGGCAGGUUAAUUCAGCACUCCUCGCAGUGAUGUCUUUAAAGGUUCAUUAAAAUCCUUCAAUGAACUCUUUUUUUUUUUUUUUUUUCUAUGUAAAAGACCAAAAUUAAGAUUUUUGUGAGUAAAAGGACGUGAAAUCUGUCUCACCAUGCUGUGGG
rnacentral:lncRNA from 1 species